rnacentral:tRNA from 1 species
GGGCGUGUAGCUCAGCUGGUAGAGCAGCGGACUCUUAAUCCGUUGGUCGGGGGUUCGAAUCCUCCCACGCCCA